UGGGGAAUUUUGCACAAUGUUCGCAAGAAUGAUGCAGCGACGCCGCGUGAAUGAAGAAGGCCUUCGGGUCGUAAAGUUCUUUCGCUAGGGAAUAAACGUAUACAUAGUAACUGAUGUAUGCUUGAAGGUACCUAGAUAAGCAGUCCCGGCUAACUCCGUGCCAGCAGCCGCGGUAAUACGGAGGGGACAAGCGUUGUUCGGAGUUAUUGGGCGUAAAGAGCUCGUAGGCGGUGAUGUAAGUCAUUAGUCAAAGGCGACAGCUUAACUGUCGUAAGGCUAGUGAUACUAUAUUACUGGAGUAUCGUAGAGGAUUGCAGAAUUCCUAGUGUAGCGGUGAAAUGCGUAGAUAUUAGGAGGAAUACCUGUUGCGAAGGCGGCAAUCUGGUCGAUAACUGACGCUGAGGAGCGAAAGCGUGGGGAGCAAACA
rnacentral:rRNA from 1 species